rnacentral:lncRNA from 1 species
CAUGUCUCUGAGAUCCAUUAUAAAGCCAAAUCCAGGCACAGAAGGUGUGCUCACCGAAAAAAUAGAAAGACUUCUAAGUUAUAUUGGCAAACCAUGGAGAAUCUAUGUGGACAUGGAUUCUGAGAGUAUUAGAACUCAAGGAAGAACUCAAUUACAUAUUGGAUAGAAUUUAUCAAUAGAGAUGAAUUUAUCAGAGAUUCUGGAUUUAAUGUGCUAGCUCAAGCAGAAGUAGAUGAAAUUACUUGCUAAAUUAUCUUUUGUGCUGUGCUCAGCAGCAGCCCAUUCUAAGUGAACCUGAGAUGCCAGAAAUUUCUUAUUAUAGGGGAAGAAAUCCAAAAGUUUAUAGAGGAAUAAAUAUUGGGGUAGGUUUUCAAAGAUGAAUCACUCACCUAGUCCCAACUGUUUCCCUUCUCUUCAGAAAAGGAAGAAAUGCCCAGAAAAUAUGUCCCGUAUCAGGGGCUUGAAAACUGCAUAGGUAUAAAAAGCACUUUGAGUUCUUCUUCAUGUACUGGGGUUAAGAAGAGAAUACUGUGGUUGAAAGGGGCUCCUGAUUUCAAUAUGGGUGCUAAGAUGGUAGAUCGCAAGUAGUGCCCCUUAAGUGCUAAAGUCAAGGAGGGCAUGUUGCCCAUAAUAACAGCAAGAUUGGCAUGGUAUUCAAAAUGAUACAACGCUCAAAAAUACAACUCUAUUGUAUAUAAAAGAACAGAGUUACAGAGAUCAAAAUAGAUGGCAGCCCACUAGGGUUCUAAUUCAUUCAUAUAAUGGAAAAUACUCCAGGAUUAGUGGUUGUAGGUCUGGUGCUGUAUUCAGUGGUUCUGGUGGUGGCCUUCUGACAUCCGCCUUUCCCAGCCUUUCCAGUGAGUUUUGUAAGCACCUAAUUCCCUGUCUUAAACCUCUUUCUACUUAAAGUACCUAGAGUGCUCCUGUGCACUGAACACUAACUGAUGCAUUCUGAUAGGACCCUUAGCCCUUGCCAUGAUUAUUUCCCCAAUUUCUGGGUAUAUUAAUAUAAAGAUAGAUGGCCUCAGAGAGUGGCAGAAUUCCUACACUGACUCCUGACCUCUUCAGUUAAAAAAUUAAUUUUCUUAAACUGCCUCCUUGGGGAAAUCCAGAGAGGAGGCCCCUGUGUUUCCUAUCACAUGCUCACUUUAGGCCAUUGUAAAAGAUAGAUGAGUCUUGAGAAUCACAGGGGGUCACUGUAGGCUAAGUCCUGUGGGAAUUCUGAGUAUACAUGGGCUUCUAAAUGUGGUUGCUUUACUGCGGCAAAUCAACAUAUACUGUAUGACUGCAGCUUUUAGCUGAACAAUCCUUUUUCUCUGUUCCAACAGAGAACACCAGAAGCGUUUGAUUUCACCUCAAAUGACAGAAACUUAUUUUCAACUGCAGCUUAUUUUAACUCUCCAUUCUCUGUGCCACAAGUUAGUGUAUAAGGACUAGGAUGUCUCACCAUCUCUAGCUGAAUCGGUAAUAGUAUGCUGACAUGCUCCAGAGAACAAGAAGUGGGUGGCAUUUUAGUUGAAAACUAUACAUGUCAGAAGGUGGGAAAUAAAUCCUAUUCCAUUGCAGUGAUGUUUCUUGGGAUCUGUGUUGAAUGGCAUGUGAAUUUAUCCUUUCAAGGACAAUUUGUUUCCUACCUCUAAAAAAAGCACUAUGAUAUCUGAAGCUCUUUGGAUUUUAGAAGCAAUAGAGAUGACAUUUUGUGUGCCAUUCAGCUCUUUCCUGAGAGACCUGAAAGGCUGACAGCUUUGAGUAGGGUCCAGAGGAAGGCUGUCCAGCUGGUCCAGGCUGCAGCUUUUCCAUAUGGCCUGUUAGGACCCAAUAAGAUCAGUGGUGCUCAAAAAUCAAAUGAAGUCUGUGGUGUGGAAAGACUGAAUACAAGAUUCACAAGGGAAAUAAAGCUAUGCUUUCUUCACUGAGAAUCAGUCUUCUUUGGAGGAAGAGUACUUGGCUUGCUACUGACCCAGAUAGAAACUAGGUAACUAUGAAAUAUAAGCUGCCCACCAUGAACUGAGGGUUACCUGAUCUACCCAGCUAUAAAGUCAAAUGUAUCCAAGUGGAAAUAGUAUAUAGGUGAGUGCAUCUGAGCAGGUCCUGAAAGCUCCAGUUUCACAGCCUGCUGUCUUCCUACUAUGCCUGCUCACGCCACACUGCCACCUCUCCACCAACCAAAACCUGCAACAAUGUGAACACUUCUCUAGUAUCAGUUAAUUAAUGGAAGAAAAAGAAAGCAGAUUUUGCAUAAUAAGCUGGCACCAGCCUCAAAUGGAUUGCUGAAUACCACUCAGUCCCGCUGACCUGAAGGUGGAAAAUUCUCCCAGUAGAUGGAACUUUGAGUGGUAUAACAUCUUCGUUUUAUUCUGGAAAGCGAGAUGAGUUGAUGGACAGUAACAAAUACUUUGGGCAGAUUGCCAUCGACAUGAAAAGAAUAAGACAAGAGAAUUGGUGACAGGAAGUUUGGGAAGCAGCAUGUGGGUGGGUCUCCUAAGAUGGGCCCAUACUCUGCAGGUACCAUAUAAUUAGGUUCCCGGUAUAAAUGUCCACCAUAUUGGCUGACAACCCAAUAGGCAUUCACCUUUCUUGUGAACAAACUUCAGUUUUGUAUGGGUACCCAUGCUCCUCCAUGUGACUUUAUACUCCAAGGAAGGCUGGUCACAUCUCUACCCCAAUGGGCGAAUCAGUUAAUCUAGCCCAUCAUGGUUAUUUUAUUUUCCAUAUGAAUGGAAUAAAAAGGGCCAUGUGCCCUGAUUUGGGGCAAUAAGACCUUGAAGGAAGUCUGCUGUAGGGUUAGUUCUAUUAAGUUUAUUUCUCUAUUAAAAAUAAGAGGUUGUCUCUUCUUCUGCCUCACUUUGAAUUGGGAGCUGGUCUUAAAAUAAGGAGAGAAAGGGGAGCAUUUCUGCCUGUGCUGGUUGUAGGAACAACAUCCGGUUUCCAAGACCAGCCACAUCUGUCAUAGCACCCACGGUGUAGUGCCAACAGUGUCAACUGUGCAAGCUGUGAUUUCUGACUCUAAGUGGCAGCAGCAGCUGUGUCCUCACAGGACUAGUUUUGUGAUAUGAUUUUGGUUGUAUCCCUGGCUACAUGGCUUCUGAGCCUGGCUGUCUCCUGACAGUCUUUGGGUUAACCAGUAUCCUCUAAAGAAAUCCCUUUUCUGCCCAAACCAAGCAGAGGCCAUUUCUCUCUCUCUUUUUAAUUUUAUAGUGAUUUUAAUUUUUUCCAUUAUUCUUGUUUGUAAUGAGGCUCCUGGCUGCAUAGGACUUCUGUAUAAAAUUAUCUGUGAAAUGUUGGUCCAAAAGAAAAAAAAAAGUUUUUGCAGCACUAAUAUUGUUUUCAGAAUUGAGUGGUUCUUUGUAAGUUUUACUUUUUGAUGGUAUCAAAAGUUAGGAAAGACAAAUGUUCAUCCACCUACCAGCAAUACUGCCUGGGUCAGUCUCCAGCUGGUAAAAAUAAUUAAGGAGGAAAAACAUCUUUCUUUGAAAGGAUGGAAAUUUUAAAAAACGUGUUAAUAAUGGACUGAGUGGAAACUAAAUAUAAAGUUCGGAAAUGGAAAAUGAAGGUGGUGGUUCCAUACAGGUUGUGGUACUAGCCUACGUGUUACUGCUCCAGAGGAGCAAACAGGCAGAACUUCUACUCUUGCAGAAACUUUAAAAUUUAGCCUAGGGCUUAUCCUUGGUCAUGAACUGAAUGUAGGAAUUUCAGCUUUUUUUUUUUUUUUCCAACCAUCCAAGUAGAGGUCUAUGUUUUCCUUCUGUCUCAUCCCAACAGCUGGGGCCACGUGAUCUCCAAUCUUCACAAUCUGUGCAUGCUUAUUUUUUAAGACAAAUUUUAAUCUGAAGUAUGACAAACCACAAAGCCCUAGUCUCACAUUUUGGUCUCCUAUGCGCUGGCCAUACUUCUUGGCACUGCAGAUGCCCCAGUGUCCAACAGAGACAAAUUUCAAGCUUUUUGGUGGAACUUCUUUCUAAUGUUUUCUUUCCCUGCCUGCAGCAAAAAUCCCUGAUGCUCUCCCACUUCCAUCAAUACAUCUACAUGUUGUUCCAUUUCCAUUUCUUCUGCAGUGGUUUAGCUUGCUGCUAUCUGUGCCCCAAGUCUGGAAAAUGAAGUGGGAAGUUUUUUUUUUUUUUUUGCUUUUGGGGCUGCACCUGCAGCAUAUGGAAAUUCCCAGCCUGGGAGUCAAAUCAGAACUACAGCUGCUGGCCUACACCACAGCCAUAGCAAUGCCAGAUCAUUAAUGCUGGCCUUAGGAGGCAGAGACUGAUGCCUUGCUUCCAAUACUGUGUCCCAUAUGACUUUUCCUUGUGCAUCAUUUAGCUCAGCUGAGCAGACUUAAUGCCCAAAUUAAACUUUGCUAAUAGCUGGAAUCUGAGGCAAACAGUACUAAGAGUGAAACCAUAAAAAUAAUCAUCUAACAGUCUUUGCAUAACUUACUCAUCUUCAGUUUUCCGGGCUAGGGGUCAAAUUGGAGUGGCAGAUGCCAGCCUACACCACAACCAUAGCAAGACCAGAUUCAAGCCAUGUCUGUGAUCUACACCACAGCUCAUGGCAACUCCAGCUCCUCAACCCACUGAGCGAGGGCAGGGAUCAAACCCACAUCCUCAUGAAUACUAGUCAGGUCCUUAAUCCACUGCACCACAUUGGGAACUCCAUUGAUUUCUAUUUUUGCAAGUACAUAUCUCCAAAUAUCUAGCUUUGUUAUCAUGAAAACUCAAAGAAUGGGAGCUUCCAUCUAUCUCUAGACCAUCCUCUCAGCUCUGGGUUUCUUCCUGAGGGUCUUCUUCCCCAGAUCAUCAGUUCUGGCAAGAACCACAAGCUUCAUGGAGAGAGAAAAGACAUCUACAAUGGCAUAGCCUAACCCAUCAGUCUUACCUCUAAGUAGAUAUACCAAGAAUUAGUCAGGCUUUUUCCAAAUACAGGUGACAAAAAUUUAUCUUAUUUUCUUAAGAAAAAUAUUUAAGUCUUUGACUAAGAAAACUGAAAAGCGUGGUUGCUUGCUUCAGGCACGGCUAGACAAGGAGGUGCAAAUGAUAUCAUCUGUCUUCUGUCAUUUGACAGCCUUUUGCUCUCUUUCUCUUUUUCUUUAUUUGUCUUUCUCUUUUUUAAACUGUUCUUCCCUCUUCGUUUCUAUUCUUCCUGUUCUCCUUUCUAUUGAGUCCACCUUCAAGGAAAAUUCCUCCCAUUUUGGCACAAACAGCCACUAGCGGCUUUGGCUUUACAUUAAACUACAGCAAUCCAAUGAAAAGAAAAAAAUGUAACCUCUUUCUGAACGGUUCCAGCAAAACUUUGAGAGAGGAUGGUGAUUGGCCCAGCAUGGCUCUCUGAACCAAUCCUGUAACUGACUGAUCACCUGGAUAACAAACCUAUUCCUGUGAAAGAAAAGACAGUGCCCUGUGAUUGACAGUCCUAACCAAGGAGCAGAGAGGUAUUCCCUAAAAAGAUACACUUUAGGGCAUUCAAGAAAUAUCAGAUCUGAAUAAAAUAUGGUAUUUCCAAUAUUCAUUCCAGAGAUAUAGGUAUGCAAGACCAGGAGAUUAUUAGAGUUGUAGUUACACAUAAAUUUGAUAUGCUCAACAAGUCAGAGAAGAAUUGGGAAUAAUUAAUUAUAAAACUGGUUCAGUCAUAAGUAAUCUGAGACACUGUAUCACCAAAGGUAUGGAAAAAGGUCUCCGAAGUAUUAGACAAGCUUAGAUCCCAUAUAAGACCAAAUGUCAGGAGUGAUUCAGACAUACACGUUGUUUUUAAGUGCACUGAGCAAAUCAGAAGGGAGGGACAAGGAUGUAAAUACACCUGAGACAAGAACCACAAAUACUUGACCCUAUUGAAAGGUAUAAAGAUAAAGGAUGUAAAAGUGAAACACUGUGCAAGGUAAGAAGAAUAUACCACUAUCACAAUUAAUCCCUUUUUAUUACUACAUGCUUCAGUGAAUGAGUUGUAUUUACGGGACUUCAAAAUCAGAACGAACAAACAGAAAGAUUCUUUUGGUAGUCACAUGUUAUAAUUGUCUUAAUCUACAAAGGGUGAGGCUGAGUUGGUUUAGUAAUGAAGUGAUGGUAUUCAUAAGCACUGAUCAACUGUCGAUUUUAAUACCAUAGCCAUUAAUGCCUUGAUUUCCCAUUCCACAGGAAAUCAAAUGCAGCCAAGAACUCCUUAAAAUUUCAGCCACAUCCUGUAAUAGAGAGAACUUCCUACCUCCUCUCAUUCCUAAUGGAAUCACAGUUGUAAGACCAUUUUCCUCACAGAAUAGCUGAAAUGACCUAUUAACAACUGAAAGGCUGAAGACUGAAAAAAAAAAAAA